GAUGAACGCUGGCGGCGUGCCUAAUACAUGCCAGUCGAGCGAACGGACGAGAAGCUUGCUUCUCUGAUGUUAGCGGCGGACGGGUGAGUAACACGUGGAUAACCUACCUAUAAGACUGGGAUAACUUCGGGAAACCGGAGCUAAUACCGGAUGAUAUUUUGAACCGCAUGGUUCAAAAGUGAAAGACGGUCUUGCUGUCACUUAUAGAUGGAUCCGCGCUGCAUUAGCUAGUUGGUAAGGUAACGGCUUACCAAGGCAACGAUGCAUAGCCGACCUGAGAGAGUGAUCGGCCACACUGGAACUGAGACACGGUCCAGACUCCUACGGGAGGCAGCAGUAGGGAAUCUUCCGCAAUGGGCGAAAGCCUGACGGAGCAACGCCGCGUGAGUGAUGAAGGUCUUCGGAUCGUAAAACUCUGUUAUUAGGGAAGAACAUAUGUGUAAGUAACUGUGCACAUCUUGACGGUACCUAAUCAGAAAGCCACGGCUAACUACGUG
rnacentral:rRNA from 1 species